rnacentral:rRNA from 1 species
UACGUAGGGUGCAAGCGUUAAUCGGAAUUACUGGGCGUAAAGCGUGCGCAGGCGGUUUUGUAAGACAGUGGUGAAAUCCCCGGGCUCAACCUGGGAACUGCAUCUGUGACUGCAUUGCUGGAGUGCGGCAGAGGGGGAUGGAAUUCCGCGUGUAGCAGUGAAAUGCGUAGAUAUGCGGAGGAACACCGAUGGCGAAGGCAAUCCCCUGGGCCUGUACUGACGCUCAUGCACGAAAGCGUGGGGAGCAAACAGG